AAAGCACCAGUUCCGCAUGGAUCACUGAAGUUGAGCACGGGUGCGCGUGGUUAGUACCCGGAUGGGUGACCAUCUGGCAAAUAGCGUGCUGCUAGCU
rnacentral:rRNA from 1 species